rnacentral:rRNA from 1 species
AAGGCUAAAUACUCCUGACUGACCGAUAGUGAACCAGUACCGUGAGGGAAAGGCGAAAAGAACCCCUGUGAGGGGAGUGAAAUAGAACCUGAAACCGUAUACGUACAAGCAGUGGGAGCCCCUUCGUGGGGUGACUGCGUACCUUUUGUAUAAUGGGUCAACGACUUAAUUUCAGUAGCAAGGUUAAGCGAAUAGCGGAGCCGUAGGGAAACCGAGUGUUAACUGCGCGCAUAGUUGCUGGGAUUAGACCCGAAACCCGGUGAUCUAGCCAUGGGCAGGUUGAAGAUUGGGUAACACCAAUUGGAGGACCGAACCGACUAAUGUUGAAAAAUUAGCGGAUGACUUGUGGCUGGGGGUGAAAGGCCAAUCAAACCGGGAGAUAGCUGGUUCUCCUCGAAAGCUAUUUAGGUAGCGCCUCGAGCGAAUACUGAUGGGGGUAGAGCACUGUUAAGGCUAGGGGGUCAUCCCGACUUACCAACCCUUUGCAAACUCCGAAUACCAUCAAGUACUACUCGGGAGACACACGGCGGGUGCUAACGUCCGUCGUGGAAAGGGAAACAACCCAGACCGUCAGCUAAGGUCCCAAAGUGUAUGUUAAGUGGGAAACGAUGUGGGAAGGCUUAGACAGCCAGGAUGUUGGCUUAGAAGCAGCCAUCAUUUAAAGAAAGCGUAAUAGCUCACUGGUCGAGUCGGCCUGCGCGGAAGAUGUAACGGGGCUAAACAUACCACCGAAGCUACGGGAGCAUGCUUGCAUGCUCGGUAGAGGAGCGUUCUGUAAGCCGUUGAAGGUGAAUCGUAAGGUUUGCUGGAGGUAUCAGAAGUGCGAAUGUUGACAUGAGUAACGAUAAAGGGGGUGAAAAGCCCCCUCGCCGAAAGACCAAGGUUUCCUGUCCAAUGUUAAUCAGGGCAGGGUGAGUCGGCCCCUAAGGCGAGACUGAAAAGUGUAGUCGAUGGGAAACAGGUUAAUAUUCCUGUACUUCGUAUAAUUGCGAUGGGAGGACGGAGAAGGCUAGGCCAGCGUGGCGAUGGUUGUCCACGUGAAAGGCAGUAGGCGGUAAACUUAGGCAAAUCCGGGUUUACAUUACGCUGAGAGUUGAUGACGAGUGUCUACGGACACGAAGUGGUUGAUGCCCUGCUUCCAGGAAAAGUCUCUAAGCUUCAGAUUAUACGAAACCGUACCCCAAACCGACACAGGUGGUUGGGUAGAGAAUACCAAGGCGCUUGAGAGAACUCGGGUGAAGGAACUAGGCAAAAUGGUACCGUAACUUCGGGAGAAGGUACGCUCUUGAUGGUGAUGGGACUUGCUCCCUAAGCUGCUGAGAGUCGCAGAUACCAGUUGGCUGCAACUGUUUAUUAAAAACACAGCACUGUGCUAAAUCGAAAGAUGACGUAUACGGUGUGACGCCUGCCCGGUGCCGGAAGGUUAAUUGAUGUGGUUAGCGUUCGCGCGAAGCUAUUGAUCGAAGCCCCGGUAAACGGCGGCCGUAACUAUAACGGUCCUAAGGUAGCGAAAUUCCUUGUCGGGUAAGUUCCGACCUGCACGAAUGGCGUAAUGAUGGCCAAGCUGUCUCCACCCGAGACUCAGUGAAAUUGAAAUUGCCGUGAAGAUGCGGUGUACCCGCGGCUAGACGGAAAGACCCCGUGAACCUUUACUACAGCUUGACACUGAACAUUGACCCUACAUGUGUAGGAUAGGUGGGAGGCUUUGAAGCGUUGUCGCUAGAUGACGUGGAGCCGACCUUGAAAUACCACCCUUGUAGUGUUGAUGUUCUAACGUUGGUCCCUUAUCGGGAUUGCGGACAGUGUCUGGUGGGUAGUUUGACUGGGGCGGUCUCCUCCCAAAGAGUAACGGAGGAGCACGAAGGUUGGCUAAGUAUGGUCGGACAUCAUACGGUUAGUGCAAUGGCAUAAGCCAGCUUAACUGCGAGACAGACACGUCGAGCAGGUACGAAAGUAGGUCAUAGUGAUCCGGUGGUUCUGUAUGGAAGGGCCAUCGCUCAACGGAUAAAAG